UUAAUAUUUAUGCAAAUUUUUAAAUAUAAAACCCAUAAAUAAAAUAAAAGUAAACAGAGGUGGGAGUUUUCGGAUGUAUCAUUGAUUGAUUUUGAUGUUUUUGGAUGGAUUUAAAUAUAAAUAUAGUUGUUAAAAUUUAAAAAAUAGUGAAUUAUACUUGAAUAGGGUGAAGCCAAAAAAAAUUCUGGUGGAGGCUUACAGCAAUUUUAAUAUAUAAAUUGAUUAUUAAAUUUGAAUAUAAGGGUAAAAGAUUAAUUGAAUUAUUUAAUAAUUAA
rnacentral:ncRNA from 1 species